UUAAAAAUUCCCUCAGUUCCCAUCAACACAGAAGAAAUGUCUAUUUUGGAUUGAUGUAAAUACGUGCCUGGUAGCAGUGUUGAGGAUCAGUAACCAUCUCGACCCACUGAAAGACAGACAAUUGCAAUAGCUAAUUAUGUCUGAAGGAAUAGUCUACGCUGAUGUAAAGUUCAAAAAGCAACAAAGGACUGAAGGAGAACAUUGUGCAACAGCAUCCACAGUGAAUGAUACCACACACUCUGAAAUUUCCAGAACCAGACGCAACCAGCCAUCUAUCGACCCUAAUGCUGGUGACCCUGAUUCUCAGGAGGGGUCAAAGGUCAAACCAAGUGGAUAUGACCCUGUCAGAGUUGUUCUGGUGACUCUCUGUGUUCUUCUGAUGGGUGCUGUCAUUGGACUUGGGGUUCUCUUUUUGAAACAUAAUCAAGAAUUGAUUGUGCAGAGAACUUGCUGUAAGAUCACAGGUACUAUGCGAGAAUGUCCAAAUAAAUAGUGGCACAAGAUUCAGUCAUUCCAAAAAGUGCUUUGUUACAUAGGCCUAUGUUUUAUAUCAUAGAAUGAACUCCAUUAAGGAAUUGGAAUUACUAUAAGAAAUUCCAUGGUAAAAAAUAAAAGAAAAUGGAAGUCACUUCAAACCUAAUUUUAUUGCCUCGGUUUCAGUCUAUUUCUGCUUUUUUCUUAUCCCACUUAGGCUGAGGCUAAGUGUAUGCAUAGUAAAUCAAUGUGUUUUCAUGUCAGUAUGGAUCUUAUACAAUCAGUAAGAUAAAAAAAAUAAAAAAUAAUGAUUCAUAUAGUAUGUUACAAAUACUUGAUUUUGAUAAGGGACUAUUGACAAAGACGUAUGUAUCACCAGGUUAUUUCUGUUCCCUCCCUCCACAGAGGAUGAGCGUCCAAUAUGUGCUCAGGAUUGGAUGUGUCACAGGAAACACUGCUAUUAUUUUUCCAAUGAUAGUCUGACCUGGGUUGAGAGUCAGGAUAAAUGUGUCUCCAUGGGAGGACAGCUGGUCAUCAUAGACAGCCUUUAUGAGCAGACAAUCUUAGAAAAGAAAGUUGGUGCUAUAAUGAGUGUUGGUGAAGACAAGUUCUGGAUCGGCCUGACAGACCAAAAAGAAGAGGGAAAGUGGUUAUGGAUGGACGACACACCUCUAGAUUCAAAUAACAGCUUCUGGUUUGCUUCCCAAAAUGGCGAGAAAGAGCCUGACAACUGGCAAGGAGACGAGGAAAGAAAAAAUCCAGACGGUGAAGACUGUGCUAGAAUGGGAGAAAAAGGUGGUACUCAUGAUGGCAAGAGUUGGUUUGAUGUCAACUGUGAAUGCUCUCAUAGAAGAAUAUGUGAGAUAAUGUUAUUCUGAAAUUUCAUUUUUGUCCUCCCCAGUUUUAUCAUUGGAAUGUGAUACAAAACAGGCUUUAGGACCGUGGACGUGUCCGAGCAGUCGGGUAGUCUGUUUGAAGUGUUUAUCCGACCGGAUAAAAUAAAAUAAAAAAAUACCUUAUGUCCCUCCCACUUCUAAAACCAAAGUUGCGCCGCUGUGAUACAGUAUCUGUGUGAAACUAAAAAAAAAAUAUUGAAUUUUGCUAUGAACAUAAAAGUAUCUUUAUGUUUCUUUUUGCUGACAUUUAUAAUAAGAAGUGAGGAUAAACUGUAUUGGUAAAUGUAUUACAGUAGCUUACUGCUGAUGUUUACAGACUGCUUGUUAUCAACAAUAUGUUUAUGCUUUAUGCGUUUUGUGCUAUAUGUAAAACAAGCCAAAUCUACAACUGAGCCUAACAAAAAACAUGUCAGAUAUUUUCAGUUCAGCAUUUUCUUUAUUAAAGAACAACUCCACCCCAAAA